rnacentral:rRNA from 1 species
AUUGAACGCUGGCGGAAUGCUUUACACAUGCAAGUCGAACGGCAGCACGGGGCAACCUGGUGGCGAGUGGCGAACGGGUGAGUAAUACAUCGGAACGUGCCCAAUCGUGGGGGAUAACGUAGCGAAAGUUACGCUAAUACCGCAUACGAUCUAAGGAUGAAAGCGGGGGAUCGCAAGACCUCGCGCGAAUGGAGCGGCCGAUGUCAGAUUAGGUAGUUGGUGGGGUAAAGGCUCACCAAGCCGACGAUCUGUAGCUGGUCUGAGAGGACGACCAGCCACACUGGGACUGAGACACGGCCCAGACUCCUACGGGUGGCAG